GAAAAUGAAGCUUACAAAGAGUGCACAUUAUUCCAAAAUAAAAUCAACACAUAAUGAGACCAACCACCUUCUAAUCCAACAAUGUUAACCCCUCCUACUAAAUUUGAAAUGUGAGUUCUGUAAAUUCUUGUUAGGCUAUUUCAACCACAAUUGAGCACUGGUACCUUGCAGACAGCAUUUUAGGGCUCCAAGUGUAAAGAAGCACACACACAGUAAAUAUAGUCACGGUGCUUAUUAUUUUACUUUAUCAUAUUUGUCAAUAUUGCAA
rnacentral:misc_RNA from 1 species